rnacentral:misc_RNA from 1 species
GGCUAUUAUCUACCUUUGGAGGCGAUGAUCUUCCAGCUUGUGGAUUUGGAUUUGGUGAUGCUGUGAUAGUAGAACUACUCAAGGAGAGGGGACUCCUACCAGAACUUAACCUCCAAAUAGAGAACAUUGUCUGCUCACUGGAUCAGGAACUUCAAGGUGCGGCAUCUGCAGUUGCCACCAUUCUCAGGGGAAAAGGGCAAAGCGUUGAUCUGGUUUUGGAGAACAAGCCACUUAAGUGGGUGUUCAAGCGAGCAGCACGGAUAAAUGCACGCAGAUUGAUUUUAGUUGGAAAGGCUGAAUGGCAAAAAGGCAUGGUCAAUGUUAAGACUCUUUCAACAGGUGAGCAAUUGGAGAUAAAACUCGAUGAACUGGAGUAACGGAACAGCGUCUUGGUGUAUGCAAUAGUUCUUUUUGCCAAUUAUUCUAAGUUGUUUAUUUAGCUGGGUAUUUCUUAGUGAUGGCAAAGCAAUGAGGUAUUAAAUUUUUGCUGUUGUUAUAUUUUUCUUAUUGCCUGUGUAAUA